GGAAUGUAAAAAAAGACAUAUAUCUAAAUGUCACAAGAUAAGCAGUCUACAAAAAGUACUCCAGUCGGGGCUAGAUUUUAUGGGGAAGACGAACUAAUAGAGGACAACGUUUAUUUAAACAUAAAGCAUAUCAUUAUCCAAGUUAGCCAAUUUUAUUACAGACUGGACCGGAAAUGGCAUCUUUAGCUUGAGCUUUGGAAUCAAGGUGCAUUCCGUCACACAACUCUUCAA